rnacentral:rRNA from 1 species
ACGGUGCGGAAGCCAUUGAUGCCCUGCUUCCAGGAAAAGCCUCUAAGCUUCAGAUUACAAGUCAUCGUACCCCAAACCGACACAGGUGGUCGGGUAGAGAAUACCAAGGCGCUUGAGAGAACUCGGGUGAAGGAACUAGGCAAAAUAGAACCGUAACUUCGGGAGAAGGUUCGCUCUUGAUGGUGAAGUCCCUUGCGGAUGGAGCUGUCGGGAGUCGCAGUGACCAGAUGGCUGGGACUGUUUAUCAAAAACACAGCACUCUGCAAACACGAAAGUGGACGUAUAGGGUGUGACACCUGCCCGGUGCCGGAAGGUUAAUUGAUGGGGUUAGCGCAAGCGAAGCUCUUGAUCGAA